UGGGGUGUGGCUGAGUGGUAGAGUGCUCGCCUAGCACACGUGAAGCCCUGAGUUCAAAUCUCAGCACCACAU
rfam:Ictidomys tridecemlineatus contig025974, whole genome shotgun sequence.